rnacentral:lncRNA from 1 species
AUACAGAGUCCCAGAGCUUAUGGGCCUUCCUGAGAGAAAGAAGGAAAGAGAGGGACAAGGAAUAUAUAGCAUGCAAUCCAUCUUUUCAUGACACUCCAUCCUUACAAUGGUCCAUAACUUCGAUAAAAUUAUACACAUUAGAAAGGAUGAAAACUAAGGUUGGAAUAAGUGGACUUUUCAAAUCAACUACAAACUGAUGAAAGCAUAGCAGGAAUCCACCCCCAUCUAAUUAUCCCUCCUUGGAUGCUGUAGCUCUCAGUUUAUUAGACCAAGACACUCCAAAUCUCCUACAAACAAGUCAUCUAAAACUCACAUUGCCUUUUGCUGUGAACACUAACCCAUUUCCAACUUCACUGGAAGAGAAGUAAAAGGACCAUGGGGAUAAAGUGAACGUUAAAAGACAAUCAUUGCAGAUGGCCACGUGGUACCAGACACUGUCACUGAAUCCUUCAGGUCAGGGCUCUGUCCUGAUAUUAUGUUUGAGAAUAUAAUUGCUCAUGGACACACACAAAGCACGUAUACAUCAAUCUCACUUAUGUUAACAGAGGUCAUUAGAAAUACAUGACUAUUUAAGAAAACCCAUGAAUGUCAUUGUAUAUAGUAAUUGUUUACAGCUGAGGGCCAAAUGCUUAAUUGUUCCCAUGUGCAAUAAAAUAAUUUGAUUGUAAAUACCUAUGGGAGCUUAGGCUGUUGCAGGAACCUCUAACAGAGGACUGACUCUACAAAGAGUGACAUAAUAGAGACUCAAAGCUGGAGAUAGUAAGAAUGUUGUAAAGUGAAUGGGCAAAUCAAACAGAUACUCUGCCACUUAAAAAUGGUAGGUUGUAAUGGCAGAAAAAACCUUAAAGGCUUGUAUUAUUACUCUUUAGUCAGGAAUGAAGUUUAUUAUUGAAUGAAGUUUAAGAAAGUGUUGAGGAAAGAAGGAACGACAGUAUUGCCUCAUAAUAGAUGCUCAAGAGUUUUCUGGAGUGUGGGGAGGAAUCCUAUGAGCAAUUUAUGGCUUCCGCUGGUGUCUUAUUUACAAUUGUGGUUCUUUCUAGAAUUUGCUUGCAAAAUUUAUAACCAGAAAUGUUUAAUCAUCAGCAUGGAGGAUUUAUGAAGAUAGAAGGCACUGUAUUUAAUGUUUGCAGGACACUGCCUUAUCACCUUUACUGCGUUCGUACCAUGUGGACCCUCCACUUUGAUGGCGUUAUCAUAAAUCCAUUAAAAUGCACAAUUGGAGAGUUUCCUCUUCAUAAACCUGAUUUAUAACCACUACUAGAAGAAUCCAACAAACCAGUUGGCUAGAAUAACAUGCUGGUAUUGGAGGAGGAGAAUUUAGGUACCAAUCCCUAGGUCUUGGCAAGUUCAGUAACCUGGUACCUCAAGGUACAGUGCAUUUGUUAAAAGCACAUGUUUCCAAAAUGAUAUUUAAACACAUAAGUUUUGAAAAAGAAGGGUCCUAUGAAAUCAAAGCCCAUUGUCUGCACAUUUUUUUCUACUGUCACUAUUCAAUUUACACAUAAACUCUUACUCUAGUGUUUCCUUAGAAAUUAAAUAGCUUGCAAUGAACAUGAAUAGAUACUUUGAAUUCCUAUACAAUUACCUUAAUGUUGAGAGGAAAAACCCAUUUAUUAUCCAAAUGUCUAAGCUCUCCACAAACUAAAAUGUAGGGGGAAAGGUUGGCAGCUCAUUUGAAAUGGAACUUAGGCUCCUCACAUUUACGACCUGCCUAUGGAUAUCUGCAUUUUUCCCCAAGUCUUAAUGUCUUAAAUACUUAUCAAAAAUUAUAGUGCAAAUUAUGUUUAUUAUCCUCCCAAAGGACGAGAGAAUACAUGAGUAUUCAAGAUGAUUUUAAUCUAUUUUAACAGUAAUUCUCUGAACUUUGCAGUGAAUAGUAAUUUCAAAUGACAGUUUUACUAUGAAGGCUCCAACAUUUGUCAACAUUAAUAGUUGAUGUUUGCUUAAUAUAAGUAAGUAAAAUAUUAGCAUUUGCCUUGAAGAAGUUAAAAACCUCCUGUUAUUUUACAGGGAGAUGAACUACAGAUUGCUGUUCAUUUAAUUUUAAUACAGUUUUUUUCCUAACAGCUCAGAGAUAUGACAAGCUUCAUUUUGUUUCAAGUACUAUUUUACAAAUGUAUCUAAACAUUACAAGGUAUAUUACAAUUACUUAAGAUCUUUUUUAUUUACCACUUGGAAAUAUUUUUAGCCUUUUUUUUUUCAGAUUUAAGGUGUUGACUUUCUAAUAUCAGCACGUCUUCUCCUAAUAUUACUUUCACCUGAACCAGCAGUGAAUACAACCAAAAAUAUCAUUAAAAAAGUGUGUCUUUAAAGUUAGAAGAAGGAACUAUAUCCGAAUCCUAAGAUCCACCCGUGAUACUCUGAUUCUGGACUGAUGGAUACAAAAUUUUGAUAUUACAUAGUAUAUUUUAAAAAUUGAGAACCUAAUUUUAACCACUUUUUUAAAAAGUUAAUAGAAACAUUCACAAUAUCUUCCAGGGAGCCAGAUAACCCACAAAAUAAUGGCUGCCAGGGCUCCUUGCCUUUAAAUCAGGUCACUUGUGUUCUUUCUUUGAACAUUGUGUUCUAAUUGGAACAAUAAAUCAAAGAAGACACUCAGAGUAGAUUCCCAUGUAAGGUGGAUAACUGGACAGUGACUUUUUACUGCUGCUAACACGUGCAUCCAAUUACCAUUUGAUAGAUUCAUAGUGCCAGCAGUACAGCAUUACCUCAUUGUAUAGCUCACCUAAUAAUUCUUCUGCCUAAAUCUGUCUACCUUUACCUAUACCUAACCUGUCAGUAUGUGUAUUAUCAUUAAUGAGGAACUUUCAGAUGUUUGGCAUGCUUCCUGCAAUGAAUGAUGUGACAGAAAUGUUAAUUUAUUACCCAACUAAGCUUAAUAGAAGGUAAUGUCUUGAUUAAGCUGAGGCACCCUAAACUUUAAAUAAUUAAAUUUAUCUAGACAAACCCAAUAAUUCCACUACAAUUAUAACCUAAUUCUGCAGUGUUGGUUAACUGAAAGAUAAAAGACUUAUUUAGAAGCCAUAUUAUACUACAGGAAAAAAAAAUGUAUUUUUCUUGCAGGUACCUUUUAGAAUGUUCACUUUCUUGAUAAGCAUAAUUGUUGUUUGGCUCUUAAUUUUUCUUAAGAUUUCACUAUUGUGUUGAGACUGAAUCGCCAUCUGUGGUAUUGCAACUGGACUCAAGACUCAGUUACUUGCAAUAGUCCUGUUUUGAGGUAUCCUAUGACAUCUCUAUUUUAGAAACACUGUGACUCUGAUUAGUUUACCUCUCUACUAUUAGUUUACCUUACCACUAUUUUCUCUUCCAUUUUUGGUUUUAAUUUUUUUCCAGGUCCUUAAACCUAUUGCCUCUCUUCAAAGACAAACAAAUCACCACUUAGUACCCAAGGUGAUGUCCAGAAGCCCAGACAGAUACUUUAGUUGUUAUAUAGUUUAUUUUCAAUGCAUAAGAACUUCAUCAGUUUAAAUUGAACAACACCAGUAGCCUCAUUCUAUUGAAUUGCCAGCUAAUUCUUCCAUAUCCCAGCCUCCAGGCCAGGUUCUUCUAAGCUCUGCCUACAUCAAAGCGGGGAAGACCCUUACUUGAACAUCAUUCUAUGUUUGGUAUCCAGGGGAAACGCCUUACCAAAUACCCAUUUCUAAUGUUUUGUUUUCCAUUCUUUUAACAUUUUUUGCACUUGCUCUUGAUCCUCUGCUAUCUUUCUUGCCUCCAUACCUUCUUCUAAACGUAUUUAAAGG